rnacentral:rRNA from 1 species
UACGGAGGGAGCUAGCGUUGUUCGGAAUUACUGGGCGUAAAGCGCACGUAGGCGGCUUUUAAGUCAGGGUGAAAUCCCGGGGCUCAACCCCGGAACUGCCCUUGAAACUGGAGAGCUAGAAUCUUGGAGAGGCGAGUGGAAUUCCGAGUGUAGAGGUGAAAUUCGUAGAUAUUCGGAAGAACACCGGUGGCGAAGGCGGCAUCCUGGACCGACAUGACGCUGAUG